rnacentral:rRNA from 1 species
UACGUAGGGGGCAAGCGUUGUCCGGAUUUAUUGGGCGUAAAGAGCGUGUGGGCGGCUUGGUAGGUCUGCUGUGAAAACUCGGGGCUCAACCCCGAGACGUCGGUGGGUACGGGCAGACUAGAGUGAUGUAGGGGAGACUGGAAUUCCUGGUGUAGCGGUGAAAUGCGCAGAUAUCAGGAGGAACACCGAUGGCGAAGGCAGGUCUCUGGGCAUUAACUGACGCUGAGGAGCGAAAGCAUGGGGAGCGAACAGG